rnacentral:tRNA from 1 species
GCUCUCAAAGGAAAAUAGUUAUCCGCUAAUUUUAGGCAUUAGAAAACCUUGGCGCAACUCCAAGUGAAAGCA